CAGCAAAGACUACAAGUCUACCCGAUCAGAAUCUCUUAUAGAGUAAGUUCAGUUUUGUUCCUCUUUUUCCUUUCCUCUCAUUUUCUUCAAGAUUCUGACUACCUCGCUUAUCAGUUUGGCGAUCGAAGUCUGCCGUUAGACUCUUGGUAAUGAACCUUAUAAGUUUGCCGGAUCAAAAUAUCAGAUAGAGUAAGUUCCUUCUUGGCUCCUUUUUCUUUUGAGUUAAUUUUGAUCUUAUUAGAUUUUGUACGGGUUAAUAUUAGAUUUUGUACGGGUUAAUCUCUGUAUAGUUAGAUUUUGAUUAGGACUCUGUGGUACAGGUUAAUUACCUUUAGCUUUUGGGUAGAUUUGGAGCUCUUAGUGAGCAUAAGCUAAAGUUCAGGUAAGGAAGCUAGUCUUAUUAUUUUCAAUAAAACCCUAGGUUAGAAGAUUCUGGAUGUGGAGGUGACGUGGUCACCAAUUCCAAUUAUUUUUGCUUGCAGG
rnacentral:lncRNA from 1 species